GACCUCCCCUGCACUCCAAAGAAAUUGUAGUCUGUUGUUGUAAACAUCCCCGACUGGAAGCUGGAAAAUGUAGCUUUCAGUCCGAUGUUUGCUGCUGCCGGCUACUCAUAAACAACACUGGAAAGGGAAAGAUCCAUCAUCAAGAGGCUUUGUUUUUAAAGCUGGCAGGGGCUCUUCAGCAUUUCUGCUUCUUAAGACUACAAUUUUGGACAGCUUGAGAAAUAUUCACCCACACGCAUUCAUACAUUCAUUUAAGUGUCUUGGCAUUCCGUUGAGAACGGAACGGUUAAGGAUGAUGAGACAUAAAAGAAGAAACAUUUCAAGGUGCCUCUCUGGCAUCUGUAACCCACACUCUAUGCUCUUGAAUGUUGGGGUGUGUCCUAUGUUUUCCUCCAUUUG